GACGAACCGAGCGAACGUUGUUCGGAAUCACUGGGCUUAAAGGGCGCGUAGGCGGGCGGCCGCGUCCGGGGUGAAAUCCUCCCGCCCAACGGGAGAACGGCCUCGGAUACGGGCGGCCUCGAGGGGGGUAGGGGCAGGCGGAACUGUGGGUGGAGCGGUGAAAUGCGUUGAGAUCCACAGGAACUCCGGUGGCGAAGGCGGCCUGCUGGACCCCUCCUGACGCUGAGGCGCGAAAGCCAGGGGAGCAAACGGG
rnacentral:rRNA from 1 species